ensembl:lncRNA
GGAAAAUGGCAUCAGCUGGUCUCUCAUGUGAUCACAUCCAAGACACAUAUUGGAUGGAGGCAUUUUUUAAUACUGAAGGAAACCAGUAUAAUCAGGAAUCAGUACCGGGUGUCAUGGGAUUUUCACUCUUCCCGUAUCCAAUGCACAUGUCGAGAGACAUAAAGGUUGAACGUCUGUUUUUGUUUUGAGCACUAUUCUCAGAGUUGACCCUGCCAGCUGACCAUUUCGACCGAAAUGUGAAACAAAUUUGCAAACAGAAACAGCAUGUUGCAGCCAUGGAAGCUGCAAAGAAGGAAACAGCUUGGAGCCCAGAAGGAUUUCAAGACACCGUUUUGGCAAAUUCUCUGGAACAGGACGCAAACAGACCAACUUCUGGUGCAUUUUGAGAGUAUCCUGGUGGUGUAGAUCCCGGCCUGGUACAACAGCUUCUCCACCCCCUCAGCCUCUUCCGACCGGUUCUGUCACACAGCUGUCAUCAGACACUACACAAGUCACCUUAUGUCGUUUGGUCCAUAUGUCCCUUCAGUUCUUGUAUGUAAUUCUGUCACUUUGCAUAAGAAAUAUUAAUAUGCAUUUUUGUUCUCAUAUGUGAUUACUUAUUUGUUUUUUAUCUGUGUCUGUGUUGUUAUCCUCUGUCUG